rnacentral:lncRNA from 1 species
UUUAAUUCCCAAAUGGACCUCCAGACCACAAAGCUUAAAGUACCUGAACCGAACAUUAAGAUGUACAGCCCAGAACAAAAUAUCAUUCCCUCAAGGCAGAAACUAAAAUGAUGUGCUCCUCACCAUUCAUACCUAGACCCAGGAGAUGAGCAUAUGCCUGAGAAGAACUAGUGUGGAACUGUCAGCCAGGUUUUUGAUGAGUGCUCAGACUGCUUCCUGAUCCAGCACCACAUUUACUAUAGUGGACAGAUGCUCUAGUCUCUGAUGAGGAGUUGCUAGCUGUUAGGAAGUACCUGGAAUGGUCUCCACUGCAUGAGGUUUGAAGUCUCCAGAGCAGCAAGGAGAGUGGGGAAUAGAACUCAUCAUCUUUAGGUCACUCAUCAUCGAUGGAUUUUUCCCAACAUUAGUAUACAGACAUGGAUGGUUGAACACAAACCUGUCAGGCUGAUAAAGCACUAGACAUCAACUAUCUUUCUCAGAACCAUGUUCAGAUUGCUGCACAUCCUCCUGAAGAUGCCACGGAUGACAUGGUUCCUUGUGAUUGUUGUUCUCUUCUUGUUGUUGCUGUUUUCUUUUAACUUUUGAAGAGGAUACUUUAUUAGUCUGUUGCUAUGUUAGUCAUCUCCUGGCAUUAGAAACCAGCAUCCCACUGCUUAAAUGUUUUACAUUUCCUACUCUUUUUGGAAAACACAAUGUAUGAACAUCAUUUUUUUCCUAUUGUUUCAAAG